AUUUGAGGAUCUGCACCCCUGACACAGCCA
rnacentral:piRNA from 1 species